CAGCAGUGGGGAAUAUUGCACAAUGGGCGCAAGCCUGAUGCAGCCAUGCCGCGUGUAUGAAGAAGGCCUUCGGGUUGUAAAGUACUUUCAGCAGUGAGGAAGGUGGGUAUGUUAAUAGCAUAUUCAUUUGACGUUUAGCUGCAGAAGAAGCACCGGCUAACUCCGUGCCAGCAGCCGCGGUAAUACGGAGGGUGCGAGCGUUAAUCGGAAUUACUGGGCGUAAAGCGCAUGCAGGUGGUUUGUUAAGUCAGAUGUGAAAGCCCGGGGCUCAACCUCGGAAUUGCAUUUGAAAACUGGCAAACUAGAGUACUGUAGAGGGGGUAGAAUUUCAGGUGUAGCGGUGAAAUGCGUAGAGAUCUGAAGGAAUACCGGUGGCGAAGGCGGCCCCCUGGACAGAUACUGACACUCAGAUGCGAAAGCGUGGGGAGCAAACAGGAUUAGAUUCCCUGGUAG
rnacentral:rRNA from 1 species